AUAUUGCUGCUGCUGUUCCUGUGCAAGUGUGUAGUUCUCGAUAAAAAAAAAAGACAUACGCGCAGCGUAAUUGGUCGUGACCGGAAUUGCAUAGGUGAACCAAUUUGACUUUCAAUCUGACGACAAAACCGAAACACAAUUUUUAUUUUC